rnacentral:rRNA from 1 species
AUUGAACGCUGGCGGCAGGCCUAACACAUGCAAGUCGAACGAGUGGCGGACGGGUGAGUAAUGUCUGGGAAACUGCCUGAUGGAGGGGGAUAACUACUGGAAACGGUAGCUAAUACCGCAUACCAUCAGAUGUGCCCAGAUGGGCUUAGCUAGUUGGUGGGGUAACGGCUCACCAAGGCGACGAUCCCUAGCUGGUCUGAGAGGAUGACCAGCCACACUGGAACUGAGACACGGUCCAGACUCCGACGGGAGGCAGCAGUGGGGAGUAGUGCAUAAUGGGCGCAAGCCUGAUGCAGCAAGGCGGCGUGUAUGAAGAAGGCCUUCGGGGUGUAAAGUACUGUCAGCGGGAAGGCGUUACCCGCAGAAGAAGCACCGGCUAACUCCGUGCCAGCAGCCGCGGUAAUAC